CCCCCCCGAAGGGCCCCGUCCCCUUUAACCCCUUCCGUGCCGCCCCGCAGCGCGGCCUUGGGGGCUCCCGGGGCUCGUCCCGGCCCCAGCCCGCGGCCCCGACCCGCACCGAGCUGUGGCACAGCCGGGACGGGGGCACCGCACCGGCGGCACCGGGCACCGCGGGGCAGGGCACGGGGGCACCGGGCACCGGGGACGGGGGCACCGGGUGCCGGGGACACGGACACCGGGUACCGGGGUACCCAAGAGCUGGAGCCGCAGGGCCGGGGCCGCACCACCCGCGGCAGCCCCGGGCACCAGCCCUGCACCCGCCGUCCCGCGCCCCGCUGCCUCCCGCGCCCCGUUACCGGGUGCCACCGCGGCCGGGCCGAGCAGCGCGCCCUGCCACCCGUGCCACCGGUGCCACCAUCCCCGCGCGGGCAGCAUCAGCCUUCACAUGACCCAGUUCCUCUCCUGCCUGGCGCAGCCUCUGUUGGCUCCGGGCCUGUUUACGCCGCGGUGGCACCGGAGCUGAGCGCCCCGGCACACCCGGCCUCCGCAGGAAGGCCCCAGCGGCACCGGGGCACUGCUGGGGUGACCGCAGGCGGCGGUGGCGCAGCGCGGUGGGGGUGUGGGCCCUGUCCCCACAGCAGCCCCGGGCUCCGUGCCCAGCCACGGCCACAGAGCACGGCGAGGUGCCACGGCUGCGCGGCCUUGCAGGAGGCCGGGCCGGUGGGAGCACGGGCAGGCGGUGCCGCCGCGUCCUGGCACCGCGUGAGCCGGGCUGGCGGCACAGGGGCAACACCAGGAGCCCCGGCACAGGCCCCGGCGUGCUGCAGAGGGAGAGGAGCCCGGCCUCUGCUCCGCUGCCUCCGCUCCGCCCGUGGCCCCGCGGCCGGGAUGGAGCUCGGCGCCGCCACAGGAGGCAGCGGGCAGGGGCGAGGCGCUGGCAGCCGGCGAGGCCCCGGAGCUGGCACUGUGCCGGGACUGGGGUGGCGCCGGGCGAGGGCGACGCUGCAGGCACGCAGAGCGGGGCCGCGGGGCCCAGGCGUCCGCAGCGCACCCGAGCUCCGUGGGCACCAGCAGCACGCAGGCAGCGAGCGUCCACACGGACACUGCCGGCACGUCCGUCUGCACCAGGCACACCCACGUGCA
rnacentral:lncRNA from 1 species